UAUAAGACUGGGAUAACUUCGGGAAACCGGAGCUAAUGCCGGAUAACAUUUGGAACCGCAUGGUUCUAAAGUAAAAGAUGGUUUUGCUAUCACUUAUAGAUGGACCCGCGCCGUAUUAGCUAGUUGGUAAGGUAACGGCUUACCAAGGCAACGAUACGUAGCCGACCUGAGAGGGUGAUCGGCCACACUGGAACUGAGACACGGUCCAGACUCCUACGGGAGGCAGCAGUAGGGAAUCUUCCGCAAUGGACGAAAGUCUGACGGAGCAACGCCGCGUGAGUGAUGAAGGUUUUCGGAUCGUAAAACUCUGUUAUUAGGGAAGAACAAAUGUGUAAGUAACUGUGCACAUCUUGACGGUACCUAAUCAGAAAGCCACGGCUAACUACGUGCCAGCAGCCGCGGUAAUACGUAGGUGGCAAGCGUUAUCCGGAAUUAUUGGGCGUAAAGCGCGCGUAGGCGGUUUCUUAAGUCUGAUGUGAAAGCCCACGGCUCAACCGUGGAGGGUCAUUGGAAACUGGGAAACUUGAGUACAGAAGAGGAAAGUGGAAUUCCAUGUGUAGCGGUGAAAUGCGCAGAGAUAUGGAGGAACACCAGUGGCGAAGGCGACUUUCUGGUCUGUAACUGACGCUGAUGUGCGAAAGCGUGGGGAUCAAACAGGAUUAGAUACCCUGGUAGUCCACGCCGUAAACGAUGAGUGCUAAGUGUUAGGGGGUUUCCGCCCCUUAGUGCUGCAGCUAACGCAUUAAGCACUCCGCCUGGGGGGUACGACCGCAAGGUUGAAACUCAAG
rnacentral:rRNA from 1 species